CUGCUGAAGACAGCUGGUUCGUGUGAGCAGAGCUCCUCAGAGACGAAUUCAUAAACCAGAGUUGGCUUGAAACAUGGGAGCACCUGCUUUAAACGUCCAGUUCCACCUGGAAGAGGCGAUUUUCCACCAGGCUCAGAACCCAGUGAGCUUUCUCCCAUCUUCUGUCUCCUGUAUCACUUGAGAGGACUCAGAUGACCCUGUCCCCUUCUAUCUACGUGGACCCUUCCUUUCUUUGGGGCCUUCUUCUCUGACCACCCACCAUUGAGAAGCACCCUACAGGCAUGAGAGGACUUGAAAUUUUGAAUGUUAUCACCCAGCACAGGAGGGUAGGUGGUAGAAGAGUGUAAAGUGUAUUGGCUCAUAAUUAUUUUGGAUACCAAUUAUCCAUAUUAUUCCUGUAUUUUGUUACCAGAUAGCCAUUAAUUUUCAUUUUGGCAUUCUGAACUCAUGCUCUCUGACUUUAAACCUGCUUUCUUUAGAGAGAAGCCCACUUCUCUCUGGGCCUUCCUUAGUGUGUUUUAACUUUAAUGGCUCAUCAAAUCUUUGGGCAACAAGGUUGAUAGUAACAAAGAAAAAAGCAACUAAGCAGGUGGAGCUCCUGAAACAAUCUCAAAAAGAUGACACAGGACACAGUGUUUCAAAAUUUGUACAUUGUUUACUUUAAGCAACAGUCCAGGAUUGUGAAGUACAACACAGGUUUUAAGGAUGAGACUUUCUUUCAUGGUCAAGCACCAGCAUCAUGCACACAGCUUCAAGUUAUCUAAGAAGAGCACUGCCCCCGGGGGGGCGGGGGGGGAUCCCUUCACCAGGAAGUCCCACUUCCAUGUGGUCCCCACCCCUGCUUCACCACCUGGAAUUGGUCAGUCUGAGUGUACAGCGAAGCCUUCCUCUGCGUGGGGGCAGCGGGCUUUGCUCAGCCAGUCAAGUUAGUAUCUGGCUUAAAUAUUUCUUAAGGUUCAGAAAUAAAAGGCAGUUGUUUUUUUGCUUUGCAGGCAGCAAGGCAUGGGGCACAGGCCUCUGUCGCUCCAUAUGGCACAGGAAGAUGCUUUUCGCAAAGGGCACUGACAAGUUAGGGCAACACCAGGUAGGUUCAGCAUCAAGACAACCUUGUUUGGGGGCCUGAAGGGACAGCGCCUGUGGACUGUUUACUGGUCUGUCCGAUCCAGGCUUGGUAAACCCUAGUAAAGCUGACAAGAAAAGGGUUUUAAAAACCUCAGUACAAAAGAUCCUUUAACACAUUUGAAACCAAGUUAUCUGUUCUUAAAAACACGGUACUAAGUGUCACAAAGCUUUCCCUCCAAUCUACUACUAGAAAACACUCAUGCCAAGGCCUAUAGACCCAGAGGAAUCAGGACAGACAGAGAACCUGUUCUUCCAAAAAAAAAAAAA